rnacentral:rRNA from 1 species
UGGGGAAUAUUGGACAAUGGGCGCAAGCCUGAUCCAGCCAUGCCGCGUGAGUGACGAAGGCCUUAGGGUUGUAAAGCUCUUUUGCCGGGGACGAUAAUGACGGUACCCGGAGAAUAAGUCCCGGCUAACUUCGUGCCAGCAGCCGCGGUAAUACGAAGGGGACUAGCGUUGUUCGGAAUCACUGGGCGUAAAGCGCACGUAGGCGGAUUUGUAAGUCAGGGGUGAAAUCCCGGGGCUCAACCUCGGAACUGCCUUUGAUACUGCGGAUCUCGAGUCCGAUAGAGGUGAGUGGAAUUCCUAGUGUAGAGGUGAAAUUCGUAGAUAUUAGGAAGAACACCGGUGGCGAAGGCGGCUCACUGGAUCGGUACUGACGCUGAGGUGCGAAAGCGUGGGGAGCAAAAGGGAUUAGAUACCCAGGUAGUCCCUGAGCGGGCUGGCAAGGCGCAU